UAUAAACGUAUUUUAAAGUUCGAUAUUUAAUCGGAUUUCUUACUGAGUUUUAUAGCUCAUAUAGAUGCCUUUUAAUUGCAGGUAGUAGUGUUAGUAACCCUCCACCGGAAUGGAUCGAAUAGCGGAUCGAGGUCUUGCCCGGGAUUUUGGAAGUUGUACGAGGGCCUAUGAACAAUGCUAAACAUUUUGGUUUCUUUUGGUGAUGUAAUAUUAAACCUACGUAUUUCCUUUUUCGUAUCUUUUGAACUUAAAUCCGGUAUGGAUCGUACUUAACUUUUAUUAUCAAAUAGUACGUUUAGUAAUUUUGCUAUUUUCACGUCUCAACUAGUAGAUUUCGAAAUACUCACCAAAAUACCUUUCAAAACUCUGAUUUCCUUUCGAACCAAAAAGAUAAGAUAGGUAGUUUCAUAGUGUAGCACUCGAACAAAAAUCCUCCUCUCGAAACUUGUUUUCAAACGAAACAUUUAGUCUACUUAAACACUCCUGGGCUAGUUUUCGAAAAUCACAAAAGGUUUUAAUUGUUCUAAAGAAGAGAUUUU